rfam:Aedes aegypti strain Liverpool supercont1.159 genomic scaffold, whole genome shotgun sequence.
CCUCUCGUGGUGUAGAGCUUAUGCGCCCUAUCUAGUAAACAGAGAGUCGUGAGUUCGAUUCUCACCGAGAUGA